CUUUCCAUGGUUAAGAUGAUUGAGCAAAAAGGAUCCAUUCACAGCUCCGGCAACAUCUCUGGAAUAACUGUGUGAAGGAACUCUGCCAAGAGCUGGAAUUGCAGUUAACAUAGAAGCUUGAGGCAUAGAUAGCUGUAUCAUCUGGUUAAUAACUGCCAUUUGAAGGAGUCUGCAACACAGUGUGACCAAUUGCCUCAGUGUGUCCAGGUCUAUCCUAGUUUCCUGAGGCACAUACUUCCCAUCUUACAAGUGGAAAUAGAGCAAAAACCAUAUACACAGGCUCUUGGGAUUUGAAUGUGAAAUGAUGCUCAAAUGUUGGACUACUUAUCCUCACUUUGGGGAGCAGCUUGGAGCACAGAUAUCUGUACCAUCUGCUUAGAAACUUCCAUUUGAAGAAGUUUGCAAUAUGGUGUGAUCAAGUUGCUUCGGAGGAAGACUCAUGACAUCAUACAUUUCUAGAACAGGACAGAUCUUCAAAAACAUGAACUGCAAGUUUCCUAUCCAUAGUGGAAGGUGGAAACGGAAGGAAGAAGGCAUGGUCCGGUCUUUCAGGAAGACUCUGCAGGAAGGAUACCACGGACAAGGGCUGAAAAUCUAAAUCCAACUCUGAAAACAUCACGUGACAGACACUGCCUUACCAUGUACACACCCAGAUGAUCCAACUUUCAUGUCAAUGACAGUGUUCAUCUGAAAAAGACCCAGCUUGACCCCUUACCUAAGUCACCUGAGAGAUGGGAGCCAAAUCCACUUCCUGUUCAGGUGUCAUAGAAAGGAGAGCCCAUUCUGUCCCUAGACUCAGUGCUGCCAAGACCCUGAGGGCUUGAGAAAAAGAAUUCUAAUGAAGUUUUUGUUUUGCUUUGUUUUGUUUUUCAAACAAUAGUGACUUUGUUGGCACAAUCAAGAAGCCCUCAAAGCAUGUGAGUGUGAGGGAUGGUGGUGAGUAAUGUGGUUUUAAAAUGAAGUCUUGAGUAUUGGCCCUUGCUUUUGAAGCACUUCUCUAUCAACUGCCUCAGAGGAUAAAAUGAAAUAGUUGGGCAAAGUGUUCAGUACUGUCUUUCUACUAUUUGUUUAAAAUGCAUUGAUGCUAUCUCAUCACUUCUGUUUCUAGAAUAAAUCAAAGCCAGCAUUUUGAUAGCUUUUUAA
rnacentral:lncRNA from 1 species